CUCGGCUGAAUGAAUUAAAACAUAAAAAAAGACAGCACGGAAAAUCCAAAGAGAGAACAAAGUGAAGAUUUUUUUUAAAAAAUGGAAAAAUGCAGAAAAAAAGCAACCAGUCAGAAAAGCUCCUGUUUGUCCAGCAUCCGAAUAUUAUUCCCAAUUCCAUCAGCCACAGGUAGGAGACUGUGAGAAGCUAGGAAACAAAGGGAUUUCAAGAGCCCCAGUACUGGCUGCAAUCCAAAGAUGCUGUUGAAUGUGUGGAAACAGAACUCAUACAUAAUGUUCCCAGGAGACCUCUUCUCCAGACACCUUUCAAACACCAACUUGCUCGGCUUCAGUCCAUUGCCCUGGAUCAUGUAUAAUACGUAGAGAACUGCAUUGCGAUGAAGUGAGAUGAACUGCAGCACAGACUUUCCCUGCAGUGCCGAGUUAGCACAUUGCACCAGCGUCAGCUGGUUGCCAUUUUGGAGGAAGGUGUUGCCAGCAUACCUACAGUGGAUUGUCUGAACCCAGUGGUGCCUGCAGGGAACAUGAUUGAGGUGCCUUCGGUUCCCGACAGCUGUGUGCAGGUGAUGCCAGUGGGUCCACGUCUGAAUGCACAACUCCCAUCUUCUACUACUGAUACGGUCAGGCCUGCGUUGGAGCCUUCAGCAUCCAUAGCGUUGAUUUCUACAGCCACUCUUCCCAAUGGAGCUUUUGGCCCCAGGCGCAUCACCAGACCCGGUGCAGAUGCCACAACAUCUUUGGAGCCUUGGGAGCUAGAGGGGCAAG